rnacentral:rRNA from 1 species
UACGUAGGGGGCGAGCGUUGUCCGGAUUUAUUGGGCGUAAAGAGCGUGUAGGCGGCCAAGUAAGUCCGGUGUGAAACUCGAGGCUUAACCUCGAGAUGUCAUCGGAAACUAUUUGGCUAGAGUCCGGAAGAGGAGAGUGGAAUUCCUGGUGUAGCGGUGAAAUGCGUAGAUAUCUGGAGGAACACCGGUGGCGAAGGCGG